UCAAGAAUAUUCCUCAAUGGCCGAAAGGCUGAAGGAGCGACGCCGCGUGUGGGAUGAAGCUCUUCGGGGUGUAAACCACUUUUGCAGGGGACGAACUAAUGACGGUACUCUGCGAAUAAGAGGCUGCAAACUCUGUGCCAGCAGCAGCGGUAAUACAGAGGCCUCAAGCGUUAUCCGGAUUCACUGGGCGUAAAGCGUCCGCAGGCGGUUUGUUUAGUCGGUCGUAAAAUGUCGGGGCUCAACCCCGUCACCGCGACCGAAACGGGCAAACUAGAGACUGGGAGAGGCAGAUGGAACUACUGGUGUAGUAGUAAAAUGCGUUAAUAUCAGUAGGAACACCCAAGGCGAAGGCAUUCUGCUAGAACAGUUCUGACGCUCAGGGACGAAAGCGUGGGGAGCGAAUCGGAUUAGAUACCCCUGUAGUCC
rnacentral:rRNA from 1 species